rnacentral:misc_RNA from 1 species
AAGUCGUAACAAGGUUUCCGUAGGUGAACCUGCGGAAGGAUCAUUAAUGAAUCUUGAAAAGGGUUGUAGCUGGCCUCCUUGUUUGAGGGGGCAUUUUGUGCACAUCCUGAUCAUCAUCCAUGUCUCACACCUGUGCACAUCAUGUAGGACUGGCCUUAAAUUGGAGUGGAGUCUUUCUUGAUUCUGUUCUGUGGCUUUUCCUAUGUUUUAUAUCACAAACUACUGUCCAAAAGAAUGUCAAUCGCGUUUAACGCAUGUAUAUACAACUUUCAGCAACGGAUCUCUUGGCUCUC